rnacentral:rRNA from 1 species
UGGGGAAUAUUGGACAAUGGGGGAAACCCUGAUCCAGCGACGCCGCGUGUGUGAAGAAGGCCUGCGGGUUGUAAAGCACUUUUAGUGGGGAUGAAAUGUGCAGGGCUAACACCUCUGCAUUUUGACCUAACCCACAGAAAAAGCACCGGCUAACUCUGUGCCAGCAGCCGCGGUAAUACAGAGGGUGCAAGCGUUAAUCGGAAUUACUGGGCGUAAAGCGUGCGUAGACGGUUACUUAAGUCGGGUGUGAAAGCCCCGGGCUCAACCUGGGAAUUGCAUUCGAGACUGCGUAGCUAGGGUGCGGAAGAGGGAAGCGGAAUUUCCGGUGUAGCGGUGAAAUGCGUAGAUAUCGGAAGGAACACCAGUGGCGAAAGCGGCUUCCUGGUCCAGCACCGACGUUCAGGCACGAAAGCGUGGGGAGCAAACAGGAUUAGAUACCCUGGUAGUCCACGCCAUAAACGAUGAGAACUAGACGUUGAAGGGGUAAGCCCUCCAGUGUCGUAGCUAACGCGCUAAGUUCUCCGCCUGGGGAGUACGGCCGCAAGGUUG